ACUGACUACAGAAGCAUUGCAGGUGUGGCUGCUGUGUCACAUGUGCCCCAGUAGGUGGCAGAGGGGAGAGAGGCUAUGUCUACACUCAGUGUUCUUACCUGUGAACAUCUGAACGGUUAGUAGCCUAACAUU